GAUGAACGCUAGCGGCAGGCUUAACACAUGCAAGUCGAGGGGUAUAGUAGCAAUACUAGAGACCGGCGCACGGGUGCGUAACGCGUAUGCAACCUACCUUUUACAGAGGGAUAGCCCCAGAGAAAUUUGGAUUAAUACCUCAUAGUGUUAUUAGAUGGCAUCAUUUGAUAACUAAAGUUCCAACGGUAAAGAUGGGCAUGCGUCCUAUUAGCUAGAUGGUAAGGUAACGGCUUACCAUGGCUACGAUAGGUAGGGGUCCUGAGAGGGAGAUCCCCACACUGGUACUGAGACACGGACCAGACUCCUACGGGAGGCAGCAGUGAGGAAUAUUGGACAAUGGGCGCAAGCCUGAUCCAGCCAUGCCGCGUGCAGGAAGAAGCAUC
rnacentral:rRNA from 1 species